rnacentral:rRNA from 1 species
AGUUUGAUCCUGGCUCAGAACGAACGCUGGCGGCAGGCUUAACACAUGCAAGUCGAGCGCCCCGCAAGGGGAGCGGCAGACGGGUGAGUAACGCGUGGGAAUCUACCCAUCUCUACGGAAUAACGCAUGGAAACGUGUGCUAAUACCGUAUACGUCCUUCGGGAGAAAGAUUUAUCGGAGAUGGAUGAGCCCGCGUUGGAUUAGCUAGUUGGUGGGGUAAAGGCCUACCAAGGCGACGAUCCAUAGCUGGUCUGAGAGGAUGAUCAGCCACACUGGGACUGAGACACGGCCCAGACUCCUACGGGAGGCAGCAGUGGGGAAUAUUGGACAAUGGGCGCAAGCCUGAUCCAGCCAUGCCGCGUGAGUGAUGAAGGCCCUAGGGUUGUAAAGCUCUUUCACCGGUGAAGAUAAUGACGGUAACCGGAGAAGAAGCCCCGGCUAACUUCGUGCCAGCAGCCGCG